CCCUAAUCAAUCAGUCCGUAACGCUUCUACAUCUACAGCUGCGGGGUUGUGAUGACGCAACAUGACCGAGUUAAUCACGUGACUUGCCCGGCCACGUGACCGCCUCCGCCCAUGGACGACGUCAAAAUGGAGAACCGUGACUCUAAAGAACCUGAGCAGCUGAGAAAGCUCUUUAUUGGAGGUUUGAGCUUUGAAACCACAGAGGAGAGUUUACGGGCACAUUUUGAGCAAUGGGGAUCUCUCACAGAUUGUGUGGUAAUGAGGGAUCCCAACAGCAAGCGAUCAAGAGGGUUUGGCUUCGUAACAUACACUAAUGUAAAUGAAGUCGAUGAUGCCAUGAAAGCCAGGCCUCAUAAAGUAGAUGGCCGGGUAGUUGAACCCAAACGGGCUGUGUCCAGAGAGGACUCCAACAAACCAGGAGCACAUUUGACAGUGAAGAAGAUUUUUGUAGGUGGUAUCAAGGAGGACACGGAGGAGGAUCACAUUCGGGACUAUUUUGAGAAAUAUGGAAAGAUUGAAUGCAUUGACAUCAUGGAAGAGCGGUCCACCGGGAAGAAGAGAGGUUUCUGCUUCGUGUCGUUUGAUGACCAUGACACUGUGGACAAAAUUGUCGCACAGAAAUACCACAUAAUCAACUUCCACAACUGUGAAGUCAGGAAAGCUCUGUCAAAACAGGAAAUGAAUGCUAUAUCCAGUAAUCGAGGCAGGAGUGGAGGAUCAGGAAAUUUCAUGGGCAGAGGUGGUAAUUUCGGAGGUGGUGGUGGCGGCAGCGGUGGCGGCAACUUUGGCCGAGGUGGCUAUAGCGGAGGACGUGGCGGUUAUGGUGAUGAUUAUGACAAUGGUCCAGGAGGAAAUUACGGAGGUGGUGGCGGCAGCGGCCAAGGCUACGGAGGCGGCCGUGGGGGUUAUGGAGGCGGUGGUGGUCCAGGAUACGGCAACCAGGGCGGAGGAUUUGGUGGCAACUGUGAUGGAGGUUAUGGAGGCAAUAGUGGAGGAGGAUAUGGAGGUGGUGGAAAUUACAAUGACUUUGGAAAUUAUAGUGGGCAGCAGUCAAACUACGGACCCAUGAAAGGAAAUAACUUUGGUGGGAGAAACUCUGGUGGACCCUAUGGUGGGGGCUACAGCUCUGGCAGUGGCAGUGGAGGCUAUGGCUCCCGGCGGUAUUGAUUAUGAUCACGUUUUGGCUUCAGUUCUUAGCAGGAGAGGCCAGGAGGUGAGCAAAGGAAAUGUCAGGAAAGCUGCAGGUUACUUUGAGGCAGUCAUCUGAAAGCAUUAGAGGAACACAGAAGUCAGACAUUACUGCAGCUAAAUCGGAGAAUUUUAUGGAAGAAGGACUGUGUGAACAAGACAUGAGUGCAGUUGAUGCCCUUUCUUAAUUGUGAUAGAUGUUACCCUAUUGAGGAAGCUUUCCUUUUUUUUCUGAAGUGUGUGUAUUGUGCCUAUGGUAUCAGGGUAAAGAUUAAUUUGAUUUUAUUUUCAUUUUUCUUUUUACUCAAGUUAGUCCUAAAUUUUUGGGUCUUUACUUUUUUUUUAAUAUAUAUAUACAUAUAUGAGUUAGCUUUGUGCUGCCCCAUCAGUCUUUAACUUGGUUGUUGUCAAAUAGCAUCGUUGUAUCACGCCCUUAGGUAAUCUAGAAAUACCUUGCUAGUUUCUUCUUUUUGAAGUUAUUAUGAUUUCGUGACUGCAAGUGUAAAGUGUAUGUUGAUUUUGUAUGUAAAGAACAGUCUGUAAGUGUCAUAUAUAAACAGCUUGGAUUAGAAAUAAGGGAAUCCCUCACUUCUUCCUGUUCCCGCCAAACCAAAUUCUAGAUUGUUCAAAUAUUUUGAUUAGAAGGAAAAGAUGGAAUAAAAUUGUUUAGUAAAGUAACAUGAAGUUCAGUGCAUCAUUGGUUCAGAAAAGGAUGAAAUGAGUGACCAGUUAAUCAUUGUGACACCUGGGUAGCACAUCAGCCUGUUCUGCGCUUCCCCAACUGUGCCAGUGUUAUAAAUACAUUAUAGUGUGUAUUUGUAUGUACAUGUUUUCUUGUAUGUAACUACUUAUACCAUGGUCAAUCCAAAGGGAGUUCUGGGUAGUCCUAGAGAAUGGCUCGGGUGCAACAUAAGCCAGUGUUGAACCUGUAGGAUUACGAAAGCCGCGAACCCCUGCAGCGUCGCUAGUGUGGAAGAUGGCUGUCAGACAGGACGCCUUCAGCCCCAGGACAGUGGACCAGUCAGCAUUGUGAGAGAGAAGGGACAAGGCAGAAGGCAGCGUGGAGCGCAUCGCCCUGGGAGGAAGCUUGCAGUGUCGUGCCUGAUAAUGUGGAAGUGGGCUUUCUGCAUCUUUGCUGAAAAUCUGUAAAGACCUGAUAACAUGGAGGGUUCUGGAUGGGUAAGACUUCUUUGAAAUAUUAUCCAAAGGCUGCAUUUUGUGAUUUAAUGAUGCACUUUGUGACCAUACAAGGUGCAAGACCAAAAAAAAAAAACAAAACAAAGUGUGCUCCGAGGUGCGGAUGAUGACAGGAUGAUGCCCAGUACUUGUUCUCUUUCACCAGAAGAAGUCUUCAUUCAACUUUUGAACCCUGUUUACGAGGUUUUCGCUUUUUAUUAUCCUGGUUGACAGCAAAUACAUUCAGGUACAGUUCUUAGUGAUGAAAUACAGAACGGAAAAGAAGAUUUGUAUAUUAAAAUCAACAAAACGUCAAUUUCUUCAUUACUUUCUUCCUGCUGUUUGUCAAUUCUUUUACGAAUAGUGAGUAAGUCCCACUAUUCCCUAAACCUUAAAAAAUAAAUACACAAUUCCUGGUAAAACUAAUCAAAGCAACCUAAUGUAUGGUGGUUGUUUUUUUUUUUAAAUAUAGUCAUUUCAUUAUAUUAAGUCAUGUGAAAAAGACAUGAUCAUCUCUAAAUUAUGACCUUGUCCUUACCAGGUUUUAAAUUAGUAUCUACAACCUCAGAUGAACACUGAUGCCAAGUCAUUGCUUUUAUAAUAAAAGAACAACCAAAAUGCAUUUUAAACCUGCAACACGCUGUGAGUGUUGUAACUUAGGGCUUACAAAGAAGUUAUAAAUGUCAGCAAGGGAUUUGCAAAUACGUCCCUCUGUACAUUUUUAUUCUAUUUAAGGAAUCUGCAGGAAUAAAACUAAGCUGCACACUGGUGGUCUCUGAUUGAAAACAGUGGAGGAUUAUAGUGGGAAACGUUUAAGAACUUAAUUAUAGAGACUGACACUGAAAACUUGACUGUUCAUAAAAGAAUAUGUUAACUUUAUCCAGAAGUGUUGUCAGCAUCUCUGGGCUCAGAGGCAUCAGGGAUGUAUGUGACACAGUGGAAAUGUAUUUUUUGUACCCAUCUUUUUCUCACUUGUGGUUGUAAGUAGGAUUUGAGUCAAGUAGUAUCCUAAUAUGUAGAAACACAUUAAUCCUCAUCAUUCCAUCGCAUCACUUGACAGGAAUCAGGAGAAUAAUGAAAACACACUCAUCUCCGGGAAUCCUCCACAGGCUGCUCAGUGAAUUGGUUCAGACUGUAUUUCUUAUAAAAGUGCUGAUAUUUGUUGCUUUUUACACUAAACUAACAGUGUUUUAAGCUUUUGUACACAAAUCCAAGGUGCUUAGACUGUGAAACAGAGCAAGGGAAGUAAAACUUGGAAAAAGAGAAGUGAUGUACUUUUUUUUCUUAGUUUUUUUUCAUGCUGUUCAAGAGUGAUACAUAAGUAUGUUAAAUGUCCCUCCUGCUACAGAAACUGGAACUUGCAGCAUUAGUGGAUUCACAUCAAUGAACGUCACUCAGAUUGUGUAACUUUGACAUUUAUGACUUUUUCAUUAAAUAUUUUUCACUAACAGGGACGAUUAGAGUAUUUUAUCAAAAGGUUGACAAAAGACAGCCAAUGUCUUACAAGUGUGUCAAAUGUAAGUCUGGAAAUAUGCAUUAAAUAUCAUAGGUUGAGAGGUUUAAUGAACAUUUUUCAUUAAAUGUUUUUUUUUUUAAAUGUAGGUCAGUAUUUCUUUGAUUGGGCACCGAUACGCUUCAUGAGAGUUCACUGGUAUCAUUCAACUGUUUGGGUCAAAUGCAUGAUGUGCCAAGUGUGUUGUGUUUUUUUAAAAUAAAUUGUUUUUUUUCUUUAAAUCUA